UACGAAGGUCCCGAGCGUUAUCCGGAUUUAUUGGGUUUAAAGGGUGCGUAGGCGGCUCAUUGCGUCAACCGUGAAAACCAGCAGCUCAACUGUUGGCUUGCGGUUGAUACGGGUGGGCUGGAGUUCGGUAGGGGAGACUGGAAUUCCUGGUGUAGCGGUGAAAUGCGCAGAUAUCAGGAGGAACACCGGUGGCGAAGGCGGUUCUCUGGGCCUGACCUGACGCUGAGGAGCGAAAGCGUGGGGAGCGAACAGG
rnacentral:rRNA from 1 species